GCACACUGCGGCUUCGACGCGGCUUGUGGCUGGAAUGACUUCGUGAUGUAGCUCCGACGCUGAGAAUAAGUUGUGUAAACCGAGUGACGUCCACCGAUGAAUUGAUACAGUUUUCCUUUUCGUUAUUUUAUUAUUAUACUAAUAGUUAGGAGCGCUUUUUGGGAUCGACGAGAUAGCGAUCGCCAUGUAAUGAACAUGACCAUCGAAUGGUCAAUCUGGCCGGGUCGUGAGGUUCCCUCUAUUAUGGUUGAGCUACGCGAUGGCUGACCCAUGCGUCAACUCGUGAACGGGUGCUGCCAGAGGGAACUGGUCAUCUCGUUUCUCAUAUAUUUUUGUUCGCACAUUUGUGCCACAAGCGUUUACAGUCGUCAGAGAGGUCUUGUGGCAUUUAACGCCUGACAAAAAACGAUGCCCGUGCUGUGAACUGUUGAGGGGUUACGGCGUUGCGUAAAUUUGCAUGUGUAAAAUCGAUUGAUUCAUAGUCAUUUUCACAUUUACAUAAGUAUAGUAUUCUAAAAAAAUAUAUUUCUUUUCUUAUUUUUGAAAAUAUAUUUGUGAUAAUGUCUAAAAAACUUUUUUUUUUUGCUUAAUUUAAUCGUAUCAAAGCUAGCUUUAUCACUUACCUAAUUAGUGACCAAUACACACUCGUGAGUUUAUUUCUGCUUAUACUGAGACUGACUAAUUAAUACGUCGCCUCACAUUAGAUUCACUGGAAAGUAAUUUGCGCGGAGGACGGAAAUAAAUUAUGAAUUAGUAGGAGGUGGUGGGGAGUUGCCAACUCUUCGGUCGAGGCUUGACUUCUAUGUCAACUAUCUGGAUUACAUGUCGAUAAAAGAAAAAUGUUUUUUUUUUUUUUAAUAAUAAUAAAGUUUG